GACAGAGGCCUCGAGCGUUAGGCGGAAUCACUGGGCUUAAAGCGUGUGUAGGCGGAUCGUUAAGUACCUUGUGAAAUCCCACGGCUCAACCGUGGAACGGCUGGGUAUACUGGCGGUCUUGGGCCAUUCAGGGGCGACUGGAACAAGCGGUGGAGCGGUGAAAUGCGUAGAUAUCGCUUGGAACGCCAAAGGUGAAAACAGGUCGCUGGGGAUGUGCCGACGCUGAGACACGAAAGCCAGGGGAGCAAACGGG
rnacentral:rRNA from 1 species